GCAUCGAUGGUUCAGUGGUAAAAUGCUCGCCUGCCACGCGGGGUUCGAUUCCCGGCCGAUGCA
rnacentral:tRNA from 1 species